rnacentral:tRNA from 1 species
GAGGAUAUAGCCCAGUUGAUAGGGUACUUGCCUCGAAUGCACGAGGCCUUGGGUUCAAUCCCCAACACCACCA